rnacentral:rRNA from 1 species
GACAGAGGUGCCGAGCGUUAGGCGGAAUCACUGGGCUUAAAGCGUGUGUAGGCGGGUCGUUAAGUGCCUUGUGAAAUCCCACCGCUCACCGGUGGAACUGCUUGGCAUACUGGCGGUCUUGAGCCACUUAGGGGCAACCGGAACAAACGGUGGAGCGGUGAAAUGCGUAGAUAUCGUUUGGAACGCCAAUGGUGAAAACAGGUUGCUGGGAGUGCGCUGACGCUGAGACACGAAAGCCAGGGGAGCAAACGGG